rnacentral:rRNA from 1 species
CCUACGGGCGGCAGCAGUAGGGAAUUUUCGGCAAUGGGGGGAACCCUGACCGAGCAACGCCGCGUGAACGAAGAAGUUAUUCGUAAUGUAAAGUUCUUUUAACAGGGAAGAAAGAGAAGUUUGACGGUACCUGAAGAAUAAGCUCCGGCUAACUACGUGCCAGCAGCCGCGGUAAUACGGAGGGAGCGACCGUUAUCCGGAAUUAUUGGGCGUAAGGGGUGCGUAGAUGGCAUAGUAAGUCUUUGGUAAAAAUGCUGGGCUAAACCCAGUAGGGCAAAAGAUACUGCAAAGCUAGAGUAUGAGAGAGGCAAGUGGAACGAGUGGUGUAGCGGUAAAAUGCGUAAAUAU